rnacentral:rRNA from 1 species
GGGUUGUGAGGUUAAGCGACUAAGCGUACACGGUGGAUGCCCUGGCAGUCAGAGGCGAUGAAGGACGUGCUAAUCUGCGAAAAGCGUCGGUAAGGUGAUAUGAACCGUUAUAGCCGGCGAUGUCCGAAUGGGGAAACCCAGUGCAAUUCGUUGCACUAUCGUUUGAUGAAUACAUAGUCAAACGAGGCGAACCGGGGGAACUGAAACAUCUAAGUACCCCGAGGAAAAGAAAUCAACCGAGAUUCCCCCAGUAGCGGCGAGCGAACGGGGAGCAGCCCGGAGUCUGAAUCAGCUUGUGUGUUAGUGGAAGCGUCUGGAAAGUCGCAGGGUACAGGGUGAUACUCCCGUACACUAAAGCACACAGGUUGUGAACUCGAAGAGUAGGGCGGGACACGUGGUAUCCUGUCUGAAUAUGGGGGGACCAUCCUCCAAGGCUAAAUACUCCUGACUGACCGAUAGUGAACCAGUACCGUGAGGGAAAGGCGAAAAGAACCCCGGCGAGGGGAGUGAAAAAGAACCUGAAACCGUGUACGUACAAGCAGUAGGAGCCUCUUUAUGGGGUGACUGCGUACCUUUUGUAUAAUGGGUCAGCGACUUAUAUUCUGUAGCAAGGUUAACCGUAUAGGGGAGCCGCAGGGAAACCGAGUCUUAACUGGGCGUUAAGUUGCAGGGUAUAGACCCGAAACCCGGUGAUCUAGCCAUGGGCAGGUUGAAGGUUGGGUAACACUAACUGGAGGACCGAACCGACUAAUGUUGAAAAAUUAGCGGAUGACUUGUGGCUGGGGGUGAAAGGCCAAUCAAACCGGGAGAUAGCUGGUUCUCCCCGAAAGCUAUUUAGGUAGCGCCUCGUGAACUCAUCUUCGGGGGUAGAGCACUGUUUCGGCUAGGGGGUCAUCCCGACUUACCAACCCGAUGCAAACUACGAAUACCGAAGAAUGUUAUCACGGGAGACACACGGCGGGUGCUAACGUCCGUCGUGAAGAGGGAAACAACCCAGACCGCCAGCUAAGGUCCCAAAGUCAUGGUUAAGUGGGAAACGAUGUGGGAAGGCCCAGACAGCCAGGAUGUUGGCUUAGAAGCAGCCAUCAUUUAAAGAAAGCGUAAUAGCUCACUGGUCGAGUCGGCCUGCGCGGAAGAUGUAACGGGGCUAAACCAUGCACCGAAGCUGCGGCAGCGACACUAUGUGUUGUUGGGUAGGGGAGCGUUCUGUAAGCCGUUGAAGGUGGCCUGUGAGGGUUGCUGGAGGUAUCAGAAGUGCGAAUGCUGACAUAAGUAACGAUAAUGCGGGUGAAAAACCCGCACGCCGGAAGACCAAGGGUUCCUGUCCAACGUUAAUCGGGGCAGGGUGAGUCGACCCCUAAGGCGAGGCCGAAAGGCGUAGUCGAUGGGAAACAGGUUAAUAUUCCUGUACUCGGUGUUACUGCGAAGGGGGGACGGAGAAGGCUAUGUUGGCCGGGCGACGGUUGUCCCGGUUUAAGCAUGUAGGCGGAUGUUCCAGGUAAAUCCGGAACGUUAUCAACGCUGAGGUGUGAUGACGAGGCACUACGGUGCUGAAGUGACAAAUGCCCUGCUUCCAGGAAAAGCCUCUAAGCAUCAGGUAACAUCAAAUCGUACCCCAAACCGACACAGGUGGUCAGGUAGAGAAUACCAAGGCGCUUGAGAGAACUCGGGUGAAGGAACUAGGCAAAAUGGUGCCGUAACUUCGGGAGAAGGCACGCUGAUAUGUAGGUGAAGUGGUUUACCCAUGGAGCUGAAAUCAGUCGAAGAUACCAGCUGGCUGCAACUGUUUAUUAAAAACACAGCACUGUGCAAACACGAAAGUGGACGUAUACGGUGUGACGCCUGCCCGGUGCCGGAAGGUUAAUUGAUGGGGUUAUCCGUAAGGAGAAGCUCUUGAUCGAAGCCCCGGUAAACGGCGGCCGUAACUAUAACGGUCCUAAGGUAGCGAAAUUCCUUGUCGGGUAAGUUCCGACCUGCACGAAUGGCGUAAUGAUGGCCAGGCUGUCUCCACCCGAGACUCAGUGAAAUUGAACUCGCUGUGAAGAUGCAGUGUACCCGCGGCAAGACGGAAAGACCCCGUGAACCUUUACUAUAGCUUGACACUGAACACUGGUCCUUGAUGUGUAGGAUAGGUGGGAGGCUUUGAAGUGUGGACGCCAGUCUGCAUGGAGCCAUCCUUGAAAUACCACCCUUUAAUGGCUGGUGUUCUAACGUGGGCCCCUAAUCGGGGUUGCGGACAGUGUCUGGUGGGUAGUUUGACUGGGGCGGUCUCCUCCUAAAGAGUAACGGAGGAGCACGAAGGUCAGCUAAUCCUGGUCGGACAUCAGGAGGUUAGUGCAAUGGCAUAAGCUGGCUUGACUGCGAGCGUGACGGCGCGAGCAGGUGCGAAAGCAGGUCAUAGUGAUCCGGUGGUUCUGAAUGGAAGGGCCAUCGCUCAACGGAUAAAAGGUACUCCGGGGAUAACAGGCUGAUACCGCCCAAGAGUUCAUAUCGACGGCGGUGUUUGGCACCUCGAUGUCGGCUCAUCACAUCCUGGGGCUGAAGUAGGUCCCAAGGGUAUGGCUGUUCGCCAUUUAAAGUGGUACGCGAGCUGGGUUUAGAACGUCGUGAGACAGUUCGGUCCCUAUCUGCCGUGGGCGCUGGAGAAUUGAGGGGGGCUGCUCCUAGUACGAGAGGACCGGAGUGGACGCAUCACUGGUGUUCGGGUUGUCAUGCCAAUGGCAUUGCCCGGUAGCUAAAUGCGGAAGAGAUAAGUGCUGAAAGCAUCUAAGCACGAAACUUGCCCCGAGAUGAGUUCUCCCUGACUCCUUGAGAGUCCUGAAGGAACGUUGAAGACGACGACGUUGAUAGGCCGGGUGUGUAAGCGCAGCGAUGCGUUGAGCUAACCGGUACUAAUGAACCGUGAGGCUUAACCUUACAACGCCGAAG